rnacentral:rRNA from 1 species
GACGAACGCUGGCGGCGUGCUUAACACAUUCAAGUCGAACGGAAAGGCCCUGCUGUUGUGUUGUGCUCGAGUGGCGAACGGGUGAGUAACACGUGAGUAACCUGCCCUUGACUUUGGGAUAACUUCAGGAAACUGGGGCUAAUACCGGAUAGGAGCUCCUGCUGCCUGGUGGGGGUGGGAAAGUUUCGGCGGUUGGGGAUGCACUCGCGGCUUAUCAGCUUGUUGGUGGGGUAGUGGCUUACCAAGGCUUUGACGGGUAGCCGGCCUGAGAGGGUGACCGGCCACAUUAGCACUGAGGUCCGGCACAGACUCCUACGGGAGGCAGAAGUGGGAGAUUUUCCACGAUGGGCGGAAACCUGAUGCAGCAACGCCGCGUGCGGGAUGACGACCUUCCGGUUGUAAACCGCUUUCGCCUGGGACGAAGCGUGAGUGACGGUAAUGGGUAAAGAAGCACCGGCUAACUACGUG